AUGGGUCCCAACCUCCUCUUCCCUGUGGCCCUCUGUGUCGUGUGGGCAGGGCACACAGAUGCUGGUGUCACCCAGACCCCAAGGCACAAGGUCACAAGGACAGGAGGGAUUGUGACCCUGCAAUGCACCCAGGACAUGAACCACAACUACAUGUACCCGGGACUGGGGCUGCGGCUGAUCCACUACUCAUCUGGUGUUCGUGUUACUGACAAAGGAGACCUCCCUGAUGGGUACAAUGUCUCCAGAUCAAACACGAGGAACUUCCCCCUCAUGCUGGAGUCGGCCGCCCCCUCGCAGACAGCUGUGUACUUCUGCGCCAGCAGCUCCUCUGCUGGCCGUCUCUCUGCCUCCUGGGGGCAGAACACAAAGAAGCUGGAGUUGUCCAGACCCCCAGACAUAAGAUUACAGAGCACAUACAGGCCGUGA